AUGGCGGAUCCUGUGAAGGGUGCCCCGCGAGGGGCCUAACAGGGAACCCGGAAGAUGGCAUGACGCCAUGAGGCCGGGGCUGUGCCCGCAACUGUGACCGGUGAGUGGUCGCCCGAAUUUGCCACUGGUGCCGCAAGGCGCUGGGAAGGCGGGGCAGCCAUGGUGACCCGGGAGCCAGGAGACCUGCCUUUCACGGUCGAUCCUU
rnacentral:ncRNA from 2 species